AAAGGUGAAGCUGGUUUUCAUGGUCUCCUGAGUGCCCCUGGCCCCUGGGAGAUGGGUCACACUCCCUGAAUGCUGUGCUGUUGGUUUCCCUGGAGGAUUCUUGCUGCAGGCCAGGUCCCGUAUUCUCCACACUCACCACGAGUGGCUGGGUGUGACUUGACACGGUGUGAAAGUGGUGGGGUGCGAGCACUCAGUAUCCAGCGAGCAGCAUUGGUGGUCCUAGAAAAUUACUACAAAGAUUUCACCAUCUAUAACCCAAACCUCCUAACAGCCUCCAAAUUCCGAGCAGCCAAGCACAUGGCCGGGCUGAAAGUCUACAAUGUAGAUGGCCCCAGUAACAAUGCCACUGGCCAGUCCCGGGCCAUGAUUGCUGCAGCUGCUCGGCGCAGGGACUCAAGCCACAACGAGUUGUAUUAUGAAGAAGCCGAACAUGAGCGGCGAGUUAAGAAGCGGAAAGCAAG
rnacentral:sRNA from 1 species